GUGUCAGCAGCCGCGGUAAUACAGAGGGUGCGAGCGUUGUUCGGAAUUACUGGGCGUAAAGCGCGCGCAGGCGGCUCUUUAAGUCUGUCGGUCAAAUGCCGGGGCUCAACCCCGUGCUCGCCGGAGAUACUGGAGAGCUGGAGACAUGUAGAGGCAAGCGGAAUUCCGGGUGUAGCGGUGGAAUGCGUAGAGAUCCGGAAGAACACCGGAGGCGAAGGCGGCUUGCUGGGCAUGGUCUGACGCUGAGGCGCGAAAGCGUGGGGAGCGAACAGGAUUAGAUACCCCCGUAGUCC
rnacentral:rRNA from 1 species